rnacentral:rRNA from 2 species
UACGGGAGGCAGCAGUGGGGAAUAUUGCACAAUGGGCGCAAGCCUGAUGCAGCCAUGCCGCGUGUAUGAAGAAGGCCUUCGGGUUGUAAAGUACUUUCAGCGGGGAGGAAGGGAGUAAAGUUAAUACCUUUGCUCAUUGACGUUACCCGCAGAAGAAGCACCGGCUAACUCCGUGCCAGCAGCCGCGGUAAU